rnacentral:rRNA from 1 species
UGCCUAUACAUGCAAGUCGAACGAACUCUGGUAUUGAUUGGUGCUUGCAUCAUGAUUUACAUUUGAGUGAGUGGCGAACUGGUGAGUAACACGUGGGAAACCUGCCCAGAAGCGGGGGAUAACACCUGGAAACAGAUGCUAAUACCGCAUAACAACUUGGACCGCAUGGUCCGAGUUUGAAAGAUGGCUUCGGCUAUCACUUUUGGAUGGUCCCGCGGCGUAUUAGCUAGAUGGUGGGGUAACGGCUCACCAUGGCAAUGAUACGUAGCCGACCUGAGAGGGUAAUCGGCCACAUUGGGACUGAGACACGGCCCAAACUCCUACGGGAGGCAGCAGUAGGGAAUCUUCCACAAUGGACGAAAGUCUGAUGGAGCAACGCCGCGUGAGUGAAGAAGGGUUUCGGCUCGUAAAACUCUGUUGUUAAAGAAGAACAUAUCUGAGAGUAACUGUUCAGGUAUUGACGGUAUUUAACCAGAAAGCCACGGCUAACUACGUGCCAGCAGCCGCGGUAAUACGUAGGUGGCAAGCGUUGUCCGGAUUUAUUGGGCGUAAAGCGAGCGCAGGCGGUUUUUUAAGUCUGAUGUGAAAGCCUUCGGCUCAACCGAAGAAGUGCAUCGGAAACUGGGAAACUUGAGUGCAGAAGAGGACAGUGGAACUCCAUGUGUAGCGGUGAAAUGCGUAGAUAUAUGGAAGAACACCAGUGGCGAAGGCGGCUGUCUGGUCUGUAACUGACGCUGAGGCUCGAAAGUAUGGGUAGCAAACAGGAUUAGAUACCCUGGUAGUCCAUACCGUAAACGAUGAAUGCUAAGUGUUGGAGGGUUUCCGCCCUUCAGUGCUGCAGCUAACGCAUUAAGCAUUCCGCCUGGGGAGUACGGCCGCAAGGCUGAAACUCAAAGGAAUUGACGGGGGCCCGCACAAGCGGUGGAGCAUGUGGUUUAAUUCGAAGCUACGCGAAGAACCUUACCAGGUCUUGACAUACUAUGCAAAUCUAAGAGAUUAGACGUUCCCUUCGGGGACAUGGAUACAGGUGGUGCAUGGUUGUCGUCAGCUCGUGUCGUGAGAUGUUGGGUUAAGUCCCGCAACGAGCGCAACCCUUAUUAUCAGUUGCCAGCAUUAAGUUGGGCACUCUGGUGAGACUGCCGGUGACAAACCGGAGGAAGGUGGGGAUGACGUCAAAUCAUCAUGCCCCUUAUGACCUGGGCUACACACGUGCUACAAUGGAUGGUACAACGAGUUGCGAACUCGCGAGAGUAAGCUAAUCUCUUAAAGCCAUUCUCAGUUCGGAUUGUAGGCUGCAACUCGCCUACAUGAAGUCGGAAUCGCUAGUAAUCGCGGAUCAGCAGCCUC